AUGAAGAACGUAGCGAAAUGCGAUAAGUAAUGUGAAUUGCAGAAUUCAGUGAAUCAUCGAAUCUUUGAACGCAUCUUGCGCUCCUUGGUAUUCCGAGGAGCAUGCCUGUUUGAGUGUCAUUUAACUUCUCAACCACAUUGGAUAUUUUUUUUCCGAUGCCGGCUUGGAUGUGGGGGUUGUUUGCAGGCUUUUUGUAACAAAAAAGGUCGGCUCCCCUGAAAUGUAUUAGUGGUAUCUGAGGCUAUUACUAUUAGGUGUGAUAAUUAUCUAUGCCUUUUGGGUAUGCCGCAUGAACAGAUUAUGCUGCUUCUAACGAAAACUAUUUUGAUGAAUUUGACCUCAAAUCAGGUAGGACUACCCGCUGAACUUAAGCAUAUCAAUAAGCGGAGGA
rnacentral:misc_RNA from 1 species